AUUGAACGCUGGCGGCAGGCCUAACACAUGCAAGUCGAGCGGUAACACAGGGAGCUUGCUCCUGGGUGACGAGCGGCGGACGGGUGAGUAAUGUCUGGGAAACUGCCUGAUGGAGGGAGAUAACUACUGGAAACGGUAGCUAAUACCGCAUAACGUCGCAAGACCAAAGAGGGGGACCUUCGGGCCGCUUGCCAUCAGAUGUGCCCAGAUGGGAAUAGCUAGUAGGUGGGGUAACGGCUCACCUAGGCGACGAUCCCUAGUUGGUUUGAGAGGAUGACCAGCCACACUGGAACUGAGACACGGUCCAGACUCCUACGGGAGGCAGCAGUGGGGAAUAUUGCACAAUGGGCGCAAGCCUGAUGCAGCCAUGCCGCGUGUAUGAAGAAGGCCUUCGGGCUGUAAAGUACUUUCAGCGGGGAGGAAGGCGGUGAGGUUAAUAACCUUGGCGAUUGACGUUACCCGAAGAAGAAGCACCGGCUAACUCCGUGCCAGCCGCCGCGGUAA
rnacentral:rRNA from 1 species